rnacentral:tRNA from 1 species
GGGAAUGUGACUUAGUGUUAGAGUGCUUGCCUAGCAUGCAUGAAGCCCUGGGUUCAAUUCCUCAGUACCA